GAUGAACGCUGGCGGCGUGCCUAAUACAUGCAAGUCGAACGAAACUUCUUUAUCACCGAGUGCUUGCACUCACCGAUAAAGGGUUGAGUGGCGAACGGGUGAGUAACACGUGGGCAACCUGCCCAAAAGAGGGGGAUAACACUUGGCAACAGGUGCUAAUACCGCAUAACCAUAGUUACCGCAUGGUAACUAUGUAAAAGGUGGCUAUACUACCGCUUUUGGAUGGGACCGCGGCGCAUUAGCUAGUUGGUAGGGUAAAGGCUUACCAAGGCAAUGAUGCGUAGCCGAAUUGAGAGGUUGAUCGGCCACAUUGGGACUGAGACACGGCCCAAACUCCUACGGGAGGCAGCAGUAGGGAAUCUUCCACAAUGGGCGAAAGCCUGAUGGAGCAACGCCGCGUGGGUGAAGAAGGUCUUCGGAUCGUAAAACCCUGUUGUUAGGGAAGAAAGUGCGUGAGAGUAACUGUUCACGUUUCGACGGUAUCUAACCAGAAAGCCACGGCUAACUACGUG
rnacentral:rRNA from 1 species